GUGAAUCAUCAAAUUUUUGAACGCAAAUUGCACUUUCUGGUAUUCCGGAAAGUAUGCCUGUUUGAGGGUCAGUUAAAUAAAAACCGGUGUUGUUGCUGCCUUUCGUGGUUACGCGUCGGAAUUGGUUCGUCUUACCUUCGGUUAAGUGACUUAAAAUUUUUGCAUGGUUUUCGAACGUAUUUAAAUCGCUUACUUACUUUUUAUAUAUCGAAUACUUUAUUAUUUUCUAUCAUCCUCAUGAUUCGCGCCUAUAAUUUUUUCAUUAAGUGACCUCAACUCAUUGAAUAAUACCCUCUUAA
rnacentral:misc_RNA from 1 species